rnacentral:rRNA from 1 species
CCUUGUACACACCGCCCGUCACGCCAUGGAAGCUGGGGGGACCUAAAGUCGGUGGGCUAACCGCAAGGAGGCAGCCGCCAAAGGUCAAUUCAGUGACUAGGGCG